UCCGUAAGUGAACCUGCGGAAGGAUCAUUAUCGAACGGAACUUUUGGCUGGGGAGCUUGUUGUGCUGGCCCUUUGGGGGGCACUGUGAACGCGGAGUCCCCUGGUCAUUUUGUUUGUUCUUUUUCCACCUGUGCACUGCCUGUAGACCUAGUGUCUAUGACAUGUUUAUACACACACACGUUGUAUUGUAUUGGACGGCGUCUCUUAUAUGAUAAAUAAUACAACUUUCAACAAUGGAUCUCUUGGCUCUCGCAUCGAUGAAGAACGCAGCGAAAUGUGAUAAGUAAUGUGAAUUGCAGAAUCCAGUGAAUCAUCGAAUCUUCGAACGCAUCUUGCGCUCCUUGGCAUUCUGAGGAGCAUGCCUGUUUGAGUGUCAUUGAACUUAUCGAACCGCUUUUUCCCCUCGGGGGGGAGCGUUUCGGACUUUGGGAGCGCUCUUGCUGGCCUUUGCCAGCUCUCCUAAAAAGCAUUAGUCGGCAGACAAACUCAGCGUGAUAACUUUCUUAUGCUGGUCUCUGCUCGUUAAAGGCUCUUUGAAUUUGACCUCGAAUCAGGUAGGACUACCCGCUGAACUUAAGCAUAUCA
rnacentral:rRNA from 1 species